rnacentral:rRNA from 1 species
CUCAGCUUGUCAUGCUAGAGCACUUUUUCAAAAUGCUCCCCAACGAGAAGGCGACAACACAUUUGUAUGUCAAUCCAUAUCAACGUUCGAUGCCAUUGACUGUGCCUACCAUGGUGAUCACGGGUAACGGGGAAUCAGGGUUCGAUUCCAUACAGGGACCCUGACAAACGGCUACCAUAUGCAAGGAAGGCAGCAGGCUCGCAAAUGACCCACUCCCGACGCGGGAAGGUAAUGACG